GCCAACGUAGCUCAGUCUGGUAGAGCAGCUCACUCGUAAUGAGCAGGUCACCGGUUCGAGUCCGGUCGUUGGCU
rnacentral:tRNA from 2 species